GCAGGUUGAAGGUUGGGUAACACUAACUGGAGGACCGAACCGACUAAUGUUGAAAAAUUAGCGGAUGACCUGUGGCUGGGGGUGAAAGGCCAAUCAAACCGGGAGAUAGCUGGUUCUCCCCGAAAGCUAUUUAGGUAGCGCCUCGUGAAUUCAUCUCCGGGGGUAGAGCACUGUUUCGGCUAGGGGGCCAUCCCGGCUUACCAACCCGAUGCAAACUGCGAAUACCGGAGAAUGUUAUCACGGGAGACACACGGCGGGUGCUAACGUCCGUCGUGAAGAGGGAAACAACCCAGACCGCCAGCUAAGGUCCCAAAGUCAUGGUUAAGUGGGAAACGAUGUGGGAAGGCCCAGACAGCCAGGAUGUUGGCUUAGAAGCAGCCAUCAUUUAAAGAAAGCGUAAUAGCUCACUGGUCGAGUCGGCCUGCGCGGAAGAUGUAACGGGGCUAAACCAU
rnacentral:rRNA from 1 species